rnacentral:tRNA from 1 species
GAUCUCGUAGCUCAGUUGGUAGAGCACAUCACUUUUAAUGAUGGGGCCCUGGGUUCGAGUCCCAGCGGGAUCACUA